GUGGCGUGAGAGAGGAACGGCCGUAGGGACUCGCUCCACUCUGAACCUGAGCCCCUGGAAGGAUGGAGUUACCUGUAGCUGGGCUGCAGGCAGCGGCCAUCAGCUUCCUGCUGAUGUGCCUGAGAAGGCAGUGGAAGAAGGCCCCAGUGCUUGGACCACUGCAGCCCACAUGGGAGAGUUGGAUGGAGUUCCAGGCUCCCGACUUCAGCCGAGACCAUCCCUGGUGGUUGCAUUCUGGGAGUGAACCAGUGAUAGAAGCUCUCUGUCUCUCUCCUUCUCCCUGCUUUCAACUAUCUGCCAAGGCCUGAAAAAGCAGUAGAAGAUGGCCCAAGUGCUUGGAUCCCUGUACCCGCAUGGGAGACCUGGAAUAAGCACCUGGCUCCUGGCUUCGGAUCAGUGCAGCUCCAGCCGUUGUGGCCAACUGGGGAGUGAACCAGUGGAUGGAAGACCUUUCUCUCUC